UACGUAGGCAGCGAGCGUUGUUCGGAGUUACUGGGCGUAAAGCGUGCGCAGGCGGUUGUGCAAGACAGAUGUGAAAUCCCCGGGCUUAACCUGGGAACUGCAUUUGUGACUGCACGGCUGGAGUGCGGCAGAGGGGGAUGGAAUUCCGCGUGUAGCAGUGAAAUGCGUAGAUAUGCGGAGGAACACCGAUGGCGAAGGCAAUCCCCUGGGCCUGCACUGACGCUCAUGCACGAAAGCGUGGGGAGCAAACAGG
rnacentral:rRNA from 1 species